UACGGAGGGGGCUAGCGUUGUUCGGAAUUACUGGGCGUAAAGCGCACGUAGGCGGUUUCUGUAAGUUAGAGGUGAAAGCCCGGGGCUCAACUCCGGAAUUGCCUUUAAGACUGCAUCGCUCGAAUUGUGGAGAGGUAAGUGGAAUUCCGAGUGUAGAGGUGAAAUUCGUAGAUAUUCGGAAGAACACCAGUGGCGAAGGCGACUUACUGGACACAUAUUGACGCUGAGGUGCGAAAGCGUGGGGAGCAAACAGG
rnacentral:rRNA from 1 species